rnacentral:lncRNA from 1 species
GUUACAAUGUUUUAAACCAGAAGAAUCAUUUUAUACAUAAGCUUCUUAACUAUUUCAACGCCAAAAAGAGAUGGACAAUAGUAUAAUCUGUAAGCAUACGUAAAGGACCUGGUUUAAAAAAAAGGCAAUUCUCCUAAAUAUAUUAUUUUUAAGUUUUGAUCACAAAAAUAGACCACAAGAAGAAAAAUGACCGAAUUGUUUUAUUUAAUAGAUAAAAUGACCCUAAUACCCUAGAUAUAUAUAAAAAAAACCAAAAAUAAAAAAAAAUAAAAUUUUUUUAAAAAUAGUUUUUUUAUAGUUUUAGAUUAUAUGUUUUUAAAUUCGAAAUUUUUUAUAAUAUUUUUCUAUUUUUUCUUAUUUUUUUCAAAUUUUCUUUUUGUAAUUCGAAAAUACUUUUUGAAACUAUUUUUAAAUUUUUAAUAGUUAUUUUUUAUUUUAUAAAAUUUUAAAUCUUAAUCCCAAAUCCACACCCCUUAACUCUAAACCCUAAGUUUUGGAUUAGUUAAAACUAGAGGUAUAAGUGUAUAUUUACCUCAUUUUAAUGAAAUAUUUUGCUCAUUUUGAUUCUUAGAGUCUAUAUUUGUUACAGAAUUUUUUUUAGUGCUAUCUUAGAGUAUUUCCCCAAAAAAAAGGUACUU